rnacentral:rRNA from 1 species
CNGGUUACCUUGUUACGACUUCACCCCAGUCAUGAAACACAAAGUGGUAAUCGUCCUCCCGAAGGUUAGACUAACUACUUCUUUUGCAUCCCACUCCCUUGGUGUGACGGGCGGUGUGUACAAGGCCCGGGAACGUAUUCACCGCAGUAUUCUGACCUGCGAUUACUAGCGAUUCCGACUUCAUGGAGUCGAGUUGCAGACUCCAAUC